rnacentral:rRNA from 1 species
CCUACGGGGGGCAGCAGUGGGGAAUAUUGGGCAAUGGGGGCAACCCUGAUCCAGCGACGCCGCGUGAGUGAAGAAGUCUUUCGGUUUGUAAACCUCUAUUAUCAGGGACGAAGCAAGUGACGGUACCUGACUAAUAAGCCACGGCUAACUACGUGCCAGCAGCCGCGGUAAUACGUAGGGGGCAAGCGUUAUCCGGAUUUACUGGGUGUAAAGGGAGCGUAGGCGGGGAAGCAAGUCAGAAGUGAAAGGCGUGGGCUCAACCUGUGGACUGCAUUGGAAAAUGUAUGUCUGGAGUGCUGGAGAGGCAGAUGGAAUUCCUAGUGUAGCGGUGAAAUGCGUAGAUAUUAGGAGGAACACCAGUGGCGAAGGCGGUCUACUGGACUGCAACUGACGCUGAGGCGCGAAAGCGUGGGGAGCAAACAGGAUUAGAUACCCGUGUAGUC